GAGCCUGUAGCCUAGUCUGGAAGGGCGACAGCCUUCUAACCUAAUGAAGGAAAGCUGUAGGUCGAGGGUUCAAAUCCCUCCAGGCUCG
rnacentral:tRNA from 1 species